GUUUAGUCUGAGUAAAUAGGCAGGAUAAUGCUCUUGGUAAGAACGUAAAGCAUUAGCUUUGGGAAAAAGAAGAUUUACUAUUUUCCACUCACUGAUCCAUCAAGGAAGACUCUACUCCAAGGCUCUGCUCCUUGUUCAUCUAUGAAACAAAUUACAAGAGAGAAUAUGGAGUGGACAACGGAUGCACCCAGAUCAGUAGCUAAUAAUGUCUAAGUCAGUGCCCUGGAGCCAAUCUGUUCCUCCUCUCCCCACCCCCAUAAAUAAAGGCAAUGCAAUUUCCAUCACUUUGAAAGUCCCUUUUAAAUUCUCACUUGAGAAUUACUGAGUUAGUGCAAAAUGCAUACCCUAACAAAACAAAACGAAAUAAAGCAAAACAAAAC
rnacentral:lncRNA from 1 species